UGUUYUUUGAAUUUUUAUAAAGAAUAAAACCUGCCCAGUGAAUUUUAUUUUAAACGGCCGCAGAAUUUUAACUGUGCUAAGGUAGCAUAAUCAUUUGCCUUUUAAUUAAAGGCUUGUAUGAAUGGUUUAACGAAAAUUAAGCUAUUUUUUUUAUAUUAUAUAAAAUUUAAUCUCUACGUAAAAAAGCUUAGAUUUAAUAAAAAGACAAAAAGACCCUAUAGAGUUUUAUUUUUUAUUUUAAAUUUAAUUUAAAAUAAAAAUUUUGUUGGGGAAACUAAAAAAAAUAUUUUUUUUAUGAGAAAAAAUAUAAUUUAUCAUUAAUUAAAUAAAUAAAAAUAAAUUACCUUAGGGAUAACAGCAUAACUUUUCUUUAAGAGCCCAAAUCGAAAAGAAAAAUUAUGACCUCGAUGUUGGAUUAAAAUAACUUAAAAUAGAAAAAAAUUUUAAAGGUAGUCUGUUCGACUAAUAAUAUUUUACAU
rnacentral:rRNA from 1 species